AAAAAAAAAAAAAAAAAAAAAGGCAAAUAAGAACCAGUGUUGGUGGCUGCUGUCAAAUGAGCCUUGUAGGGUGAAUAAAAUAUGCCUGGACUCUGGAGUCGAAUGCAAAAGAAAUAUUGUUCAUUGUCUCAUUAGAAGGUGUCUUCAAGACAGACGUGGCAAUAUCCAAGGCUCUUGGUCCUGGCCUUUGUGUCAAAAUUAGAUGAAUGAGAACAUCAAUCACUUAAUUAAUGAAAUACUGUCUAAAUAUAAAAAUACAUGUCUUGGCACAUUAUAAUGUGUUAAGAAAACAGUAAGAUCCUGAUUUAGAUGUCUGACUCCCUUACUUGCCCUUCAUUGGCUAAAGAUAGUUCAGACUUUAUAUGGUAAAGCCAGUGUUCUCAGUAUAUGGAAAAUUUAAAAUUCUCUUUUAUUAAAAGGAACAAAAGCAAAAACAAAACCUUAUACUGUUAAAUUAAUGAGUGUAUAAAUGACUCCAAAGCACUUGUUCUCAACCUGUGGGUUGCAACCUUUUCACAAGGGUCGCAUAUAAGAUCCUGCCUAUCAGAUAUUUACAUUAUGAUUCGUAACAGUAGCAAAAUCACAGUUAUGAAGCAGCAAUGAACAUAAUUUUAUGGUUGGGGUUCACCACAACAUGAGGAACUGUGUUAAAGUGUUGCAGCAUCAGGAAGGUUGAGAAUAACCACUUUAAACCAUAGAUAAAGUUAAGGGCCAAUGGGGAGAGUGCCUCAAUCUGGUUGUCUUAAAUUUUUUUUAACCAUGUGUUCUUUUUCCUGUUCUUCCCCAUGGUCUGGUGUGAUGGGAUUCUCCGUGGUAAAGUUCUCCAUGGUCCAUCUUGGUCAGAAACCUCGAGGAUGAUAGAGGAUGCUCUUGGGAAGACUACGUGUGGAUGUUCUCCUGAAGAAUGGCAUAUUCUUCCAUGAGAUAUUGAAAAGACACUGAAGAUAGACACUGAUGAAGAAUUCAAGAAAAGAAAGAUCGCUCCAUAGAAUGUGGUGGCAGACAGCAACAGCUUUGAUCCUCCUGUGGACACCUGUGGACAGAAUGACCCACAAGACUCAUGACUACAGCUUUCAGACUUUGAGACAAAACCCGAAACCCCACUUCCCCCCCCACACACACAAACUCUGCAAGACCUGGGGGCACCAUGAGAGCACAGAGCCCUGUAUACUGAGAGCCAACCAUCUGACCUUCUUCUGGAACCAGAUGAUAGGUAUGUC